UCCUAGAGAUAGAAAAUUUGUCCAAGGUGCGUCAUUCAAUUCAAGAGACUACAAGAUGUUCACAUCAAGCCACGAAGGACGAUUUUCACCUCUAUUCCCCUUAAUACAAAGCUUGUAGAGACUGCUAUUUGGUCUAAGACUUUCAGAGAUAUUGUUUUGUAUGUGACUUGAAAUCAUGACCAUGCUCAUAUGAGUUAGUACAAACUUGCGUCUAGCGAUUAACAAUAUACGAAGUCCAAUUCUAAUACAUAUUUGGCUCCUAUGCAUUAAGAACAACUGGCAUUUAGCGGUAACAUUUAACGAUCAUACAAAGUUUGAUUCCUAUUAGUAUUGAGUUUCAUUGCAACAUAUAGGCACCUUUACUAGUUAAACUAAAACUAGACAUUUCAACCCUCUUUCAUAUUUUUAUCGGAAAAUAGGGAUGGAUUUUUACAAUCAGUGGUAGCACCU
rnacentral:lncRNA from 1 species